UGAGUCCAGAUUCUCUGAUUUGAAGGACCAUACUCUUUGGACAGCUGCACCUUGCCUCUUUAUAGAUUAUUCUCUUAUUAGAAUUUUUAUUUUCUUUCCACGUGUCAGAGGUUGUACAGUUCUAACCAAGACUUCAGAUAUUCAAGAGCCAUCAAAGAAAAUAGGAGAGAGCGGAAAUGAAGAAUAUAGAAGGCUGAAGAAAAACUACCAAUGGCUUCCUUGCUCCAUGGUGUUCUAUCCUACCUGCUGGAGCUAGUGCAUAUAACCACAGUACAAGUAUUUCUAGAAGAUUGUUGCGUCCUUAUGAAGACCUUUGAGCACAACAGGAAGGUGAGGGGACAUUUAAUAUUACUGAAAUGGGAUAUGAAAUUAGCCACAAGGAAGUCCUCCAGGAAAAAAGGUUGGGUCAAUAAAACCAAUUGCCAUUUACCUGGAAGUGAAGAUUAUCUGAUGAGAAUAAUAGAUGUGGUAUUUAUAACACUAUUUUUUUUUCCUUUUGGAUAGAGGGAACUGGCUUAAGAGUAUAGAUGGGAGAUUUCAGUUGAAGUUAUGAACAUAAAGCUCUGCUCCUUUCUCAUCCAGUCCUUUAAGAAUGUUUUGAAUCUAUACUGCCUCUAAGCAGUAAAUGAAAUUUUAUUCCAUUAUCCAAAAGCUAAUCUAAAAUGUAUGUGAUAAUGUUCUGCUUUUACUCUUCAUGAAAGAACAACUACUUUAGAUACAGAUUUAGAGAAAAUUCUCUUUUCUAGAAUUUCAGAAAUAUAUUUUAUUCACUAAAGAGGGGGAUAGAGAAAUCCAGUGCAAGAGGGAAAAUGUACUAAUCAUGAAACUAUAAAAUAUAGGAUGCUUUGAUUUUUCCCUAAAGUCAUUUUUUUAUAAUAAUAAUACAAUCUGAGAACUGCUAUAAUGAAACCCAGUUAAGGGAAAACUGAUUCUUUUUUUAUUUUUUAUUUUUUUCCCACUGUACAGCAAGGGGAUCAAGUUAUCCUUACAUGUACACAUUUUUUUUCCCCACCCUUUGUUCUGUUGCAACAUGAGUAUCUAGACAUAGUUCUCAAUGCUACUCAGCAGGAUCUCCUUGUAAAUCCAUACUAAGUUGUAUCUGAUAACUCCAAGCUCCCAAUCCGUCCCACUCCCUCCCUCUCCCAUCAGGCAGCCACAAGUCUAUUUUACAAGUCCAUGAUUUUCUUUUCUGUGUAGAUGUUCAUUUGUACUGGAUAUUAAAUUCCAGUUAUAAGUGAUAUCAUAUGGUAUUUGUCUUUGUCUUUCUGGCUCAUUUCACUCAGUAUGAGAUUCUCUAGUUCCAUCCAUGUUACUGUAAAUGGCAUUAUGUCAUUCUUUUUUAUGGCUGAGUAGUAUUCCAUUGUGUGGAAAACUGAUUCUUGGGAGAAGAAGGAACACAGUGGAGCUUUCUUACCCAUGGCUUUACCCUUUUCUCACAUACCUCUAGGUGGUGGAAGAUGAACUGACAAACAGAAUGAAUAUCUGCAAACACUUCACCUUGAACCUGAGACAUGGAUUCUGAUAGCCAUGAGUGUCCAGCCAUGGAAUUAAGAAACCACUGCUCUUUGCAAAUAUGGGCAAACACCAGGGACUCAUUUAAGGACUUGGGGAUCAUGAAGAAUCUGUACAACAUAAAAGUCUUAGGAAUAAUGUUUGAGAAAUGGAAAAGAAAAUAUAUUUAUUAUAGCACAUGUUGAUGUUAGAUUCCCAAGCUCCCCUGCCUUUAAAUUCAUGUCCAAAUACACAGCAUUGCAUAUAUAUUUAUACAUAACAUGAAAAUAAAUUACAUUUUGAUUAACAAUUGAUAAUACUAUGCAGUGAUUGCCAUUUUCUCACUUAAAAAUACAUUGUGAAAAACAAAUUUGAAUAAUGGCAAAUGACAACAAUAAUAAUACAUGGAUUAUGGGAAGAUUUUUAGCCAGAC
rnacentral:lncRNA from 9 species